rnacentral:rRNA from 1 species
GACGUAGGGCGCGAGCGUUGUCCGGAUUUAUUGGGCGUAAAGAGCUCGUAGGCGGUCUGUCACGUCGGUCGUGAAAACUUGGGGCUUAACCCUGAGCUUGCGGUCGAUACGGGCAUGACUGGAGUUCGGCAGGGGAGACUGGAAUUCCUGGUGUAGCGGUGAAAUGCGCAGAUAUCAGGAGGAACACCGGUGGCGAAGGCGGCAUCCUGGACCAACACUGACGCUGAGGAGCGAAAGCCAGGGGAGCAAACGGG